AUUUUAUGCUCUGUAAUUGGAAUGAUGGGAAUGUAAAACCCUUCCAGAGUAACAAUUGGAGGGCAAGUCUGGUGCCAGCAGCCGCGGUAAUUCCAGCUCCAAUAGUGUAUAUUAGAGUUGUUGCAGUUAAAAAGCUCGUAGUUGGAUUUCUGCUGUGGUCAUCCGGUACCGCCCGUAUGGGUGCGCACCUGGUUUGGCUGCGGCUUUCUUCCUGUAGCCGUCCGCGCUUAAUUGCGUGUGCUGUGUUACGGAACUUUUACUUUGAGAAAAAUAGAGUGUUUCAAGCAGGCUUGUCGCCCUGAAUACUUCAGCAUGGAAUAAUAGGAUAGGACCUUGGUUCUAUUUUGUUGGUUUCUAGGACCAAGGUAAUGAUUAAUAGGUACAGUGGGGGGGGCAUU
rnacentral:rRNA from 1 species